GAUGAACGCUGGCGGCGUGCCUAAUACAUGCAAGUCGAGCGAACAGAUGAGGAGCUUGCUCCUCUGACGUUAGCGGCGGACGGGUGAGUAACACGUGGAUAACCUACCUAUAAGACUGGGAUAACUUCGGGAAACCGGAGCUAAUACCGGAUAAUAUAUUGAACCGCAUGGUUCAAUAGUGAAAGACGGUUUUGCUGUCACUUAUAGAUGGAUCCGCGCCACAUUAGCUAGUUGGUAAGGUAACGGCUUACCAAGGCAACGAUGCGUAGCCGACCUGAGAGAGUGAUCGCCCACACUGGAACUGAAGCACAGUCCAGACUCCUACGGGAGGCACCAGUAGGGAAUCUUCCGCAAUAGGCGAAAGCCUGACGGAGCAACGCCGCGUGAGUUAUGAAGGUCUUCGGAUCGUAAAACUCUGUUAUUGGGGAAGAACAAAUGUGUAAGUAGCUAUGCACGUCUUGACGGUACCUAAUCAGAAAGCCACGGCUAACUACGUG
rnacentral:rRNA from 1 species